AUUGAACGCUGGCGGCAGGCCUAACACAUGCAAGUCGAGCGGAUGAGGGGAGCUUGCUCCCUGAUUUAGCGGCGGACGGGUGAGUAAUGCGUAGGAAGCUGCCCGAUAGAGGGGGAUGCCAGUUGGAAACGACUGUUAAUACCGCAUAAUGUCUACGGACCAAAGUGUGGGACCUUCGGGCCACAUGCUAUCGGAUGCGCCUACGUGGGAUUAGCUAGUUGGUGAGGUAAUGGCUCACCAAGGCGACGAUCUCUAGCUGGUUUGAGAGGAUGAUCAGCCACACUGGAACUGAGACACGGUCCAGACUCCUACGGGAGGCAGCAGUGGGGAAUAUUGGACAAUGGGCGCAAGCCUGAUCCAGCCAUGCCGCGUGUGUGAAGAAGGCCUUCGGGUUGUAAAGCACUUUCAGCGAGGAGGAAGGGUGGUGUUUUAAUAGAGCAUCAUUUUGACGUUACUCGCAGAAGAAGCACCGGCUAACUCUGUGCCAGCAGCCGCGGUAAAAC
rnacentral:rRNA from 1 species